rnacentral:rRNA from 1 species
UGAGGAAUAUUGGGCAAUGGGCGCAAGCCUGACCCAGCAAUGCCGCGUGCAGGAGGACGCCCUUCGGGGUGUAAACUGCUUUUGUGAGGGAGCAGACAAGGAGCGUACCUCACGAAUCAGUCACGGCUAACUACGUGCCAGCAGCCGCGGUAAUACGUAGGUGGCGAACGUUAUCCGGAGUAACUGGGUGUAAAGGGUCCGUAGGCGGGGGGUCAAGUCUGACGUGAAAGCGCCCGGCUCAACUGGGCGAGUGCGUUGGAAACUGACUCUCUUGAAUCACGCAGAGGUCGGCGGAAUUCCCGGUGUAGUGGUGGAAUGCGUAGAGAUCGGGAGGAACCUCGAAAGCGAAGGCAGCCGACUGGGGGAUGAUUGACGCUGAGGGACGAAAGCGUGGGGAGCGAACAGG